UUCCCCCUGAACAUGCUUCUUAUGACCUGAUGUAAAAAUUUAAACAGGGUUGAGUUUGGUGAGUAUUUGGAAAGGAAUCUUCUUGGGAAUAUCAGAAACUAUUAUCUUUCAAGUCGAAGGGACAAGCUUUAGAGACUAUAGAGGUGGUCUCAGAACCUCAGAACCUGCUUUGAAUUCUUGCCUCUGUCACACAUUGGCUGUGACCCUGGACAAAUCAUUUAACCUCUACACCAAGUAACUCUCUAUUUAUAAGUUGCAGAGAAGGCGCCGACCUGCAUGGUUAAAUAGGUCUUCUUCAACCGGAGUUCCUUGGGUCAUUGAGAUCCCAAGCUUAUGUCAUUUUCUAUUCCCUCCCCUCCCUUCCCUUCCCCCCCACCCACAAAAUGUCAUGUCUUUUUCUAUUCCUCCAAAUUCUGGCUGUCAUGUAAUUUCCUUUGUGAAUAGAGUGGUAAGAAUUUAUGCCAUUAUUAUGUUCUAUGGCUUCUCAUACAAUCAUGCUCAAUAUGAACAUAUCAACUACAAAUUUUUCUAUGACCUCAUCAACUAAAUCACAUUGGAAAUAGCUUUUCAGAUAAAGGGAAACAUCAGGAAUGCAUACAGAGCCAUAUGCACAUGUGGGAAAAAUUUGAAAGGAAAGAAAAGUAAAGAAUGCUAUAUAUUGAGCAACAUUCUUUAUAAUAAUCUGUUAAAUUGAGUGGUAGGAUUAGAUUAGUGGGAAAAAAAUCUGGGUUCAAAGUAAGAUAUAAGAGUCUCCUUAUCAGAUGGUAAUUAAGGAAUGAAUUAGCUUCAAAGAAUCUAAGAACUGGAAGGACCUAAGGCUAUUUCAUGCAACUUAUACCUGAGAAUUCCUUCUAUAACAUCAAAAAGUGGUUGUGCAAUCUUUAUUUGAAGUCCUCCUAAGAGGAGAACCCACUAUUUCUCAGGACAGAACCUCCUUUUUUUAGGAGAACUCUCAUUGUGAGGAACUUUAUCCUUAUAUCAGACCUAAAUCUUCAUUUCUAAAUUCUAUCCAGUCUCUUUAGUCCUGCCUUCUGGGAACACACAGAACAAGUCUAACCUUCUAUCCCUAUUAUAGAUACCCAAACAUGUGAAAAUAUUAUGGCUUUCAAAACUAUGAUAUUUACCUAAGUCUUUUCUAGGUCAUCCAUCUCCAUUUUCUUCAGCAAAUGACCAUGGCAUGAUCUUGAAGUACUUAACCAUUUUUUGUCACUUUCCUUUGGAUGCUUUCCUGUAUUUUAUGUUUCUAAAAAAAUAUGACACCCUGAACUGAACCCAAUAUUUAAAAAUAUGGUUUGACCAGGGCAGAGUAGAGUGGAGUUCUCACUUGCCUGAUUUUGUACAUUAGACUUCUCAAUACAUAUAAAGAGAUUGUAUUAGCUCCUUCAGUUGUUAGGUUGCACUAAAACCUUUAGAUCUUUUAAAAAUGAAUUAUUGUUUUAACAUAUGACAUACCUUACCCAUCCUAUGUGGGAAAUUUAUUUGAACCCAAGCUUAGGAUUCUAAAUUUAUCUUUUUAAAAUUUUUUUAUAUUCAUUUACAAAUUUUUAAUUCCAAAUUCUCUCCUUCCCUCAAGUUUUUCUACCUAUCCAUUGAAAAGGCAAGCAAUAUGAUAUCCAUUAUGUGUGUGAAUUCAUUACCUAAGUUGCAAAAAAAAGAAAAAAAAAGAAAAAACGAAAAAAGCUUCAAUCUCUACUUCAUCAGGUGCCUUAGACUAUGGAACUGCUGAAGGUCCUUUAUCUCUGGAAUUCUAACACCUGAAGCAAAUUCAGUUGAAGCUGGACAAGGAGAGAUUAAGUCUAAGCUAUGGCCAUUUAUACUCAUAGUUGUAUAGAUGGAAGAAAAGGUCCAUGGAAUUUGGAGAAGAACUGGUUGAAGAAUUGAAGGGCCAAAGGGAUUGAAGAGACUAGAGAUUAAGGUGUACCUGUGAGCCAGGUUUCAAACUUACUGAGAAGAGGGGAGAGUGAUUUGGAAGUCCAUAAUUACAGCAAUAAGGAUCUGAAGAAAAUGGAGUCAACUUUGAAUGAGAAGAGGUAGUUUCUGAGUAAUGUUUAUAGAGGGAGUAUCUGCAGAUAGAAUCAUGGAACAUUCAGUAUGUUGAUUUCUUUUUGGGGGUUUAAGAAAGGAAGCAAACAGUUUUAGAUAAUUUGCCAGCGAUACAGUAUCUUCAGGAUAAAGUCAGGUUUCACUGAGAACCAGAACUGUGUAUUUGAGAGGGUUCUAAAAAGAGGAGACAUUUGUUAACAAUAGAGAUGGGUUCUCCGGUGUCCAGGAGAAAGGAAAGGGAAGAGGAUGAUAAGGAUAUGUUGUGAGAGUUAGAGCUGAGCUAGACAGCGAUAAGUAUGGGAACAGAUAGCAGAGAGCAAAGGUUUUUGGAUAAACAAAAGUCGGUUUUGUAUCAUAGAGUUUAUAGGACCAAG